UACGUAGGGUGCAAGCGUUAAUCGGAAUUACUGGGCGUAAAGCGUGCGCAGGCGGUGAUGUAAGACAGAUGUGAAAUCCCAGGGCUCAACCUUGGAACUGCAUUUGUGACUGCAUCGCUGGAGUGCGGCAGAGGGGGAUGGAAUUCCGCGUGUAGCAGUGAAAUGCGUAGAUAUGCGGAGGAACACCGAUGGCGAAGGCAAUCCCCUGGGAUAACACUGACGCUCAUGCACGAAAGCGUGGGGAGCAAACAGG
rnacentral:rRNA from 1 species